rnacentral:lncRNA from 1 species
CACGAGACAGGCAUCUGACUUUCUAGUGUCUAGGUCAAGGUCAUAGAAGCACGUGUUCGACCAUUAUGGCUGCCAAAAGGGAAGCCGGUUCCUUCAACACAAAAUGAAGGCUCCUGGCAGUGAGGGACACCACAGGGUGGCAGAUAUGCAAAUACCAUUGUAGUAGAGUCCCUGCAGAAUUCUAUAGCAACAGGCUGUCCAGGAUUGUAGCCAAGGAGCUACUGGCUGCACUGUGGUACUGAGGGAGCUGACAGGCUGCAGCAUGGAGCCAAGGAGCCUGGAAGGCUGUACCAUGUGUCCAAGGUGCUGCAACUGUCUGCAUGAUGGAGCCAAAAAGCUACAGCAGGCUGCACUGCCUAGGUUUGGAGAUGUUCAUUGUCUCCCAUCAGACCAUACCUUGUGCCACCUCCGCCAGUAAGAAGCCACCAGAUGCAGCCCCUUGACUUUGACCUCUGGAUACAAGCUGGGAUAAACCUUUUUUCUUUAUAAGUCACCCAGGCUGAACUGAAUGCCACAGUUACACACAUCCCUGGUCUUCAUGGAGGCCAAAAGGUUUUCACAUCUCCCUCCAGCCCAACACCCUCAGUGGCUUCCCACAGCCCUUACAACAAACAUUCAGCUUCUCCUCAUAUUUCCUAUGGCCCUGGAGAGCUGGCCCCAUCUCGAGCCACUCCCAACCAUAACCUGGAUACUCUUACUACUUCCUGCUAUAUCAAGGUUUUCUCAAUUGGGACUGUGCAUCACUUCCUCUCACACCAGCUCACACUCCCUCAGGACCCUACACAGAUGCUGUGUGUCCCCUCAGACUCUACUAGUCCUCUUGGUUUCCUUCAUCACUGCUGCUGUGACUUGUAACUCUCCCUGCAUCCUGUCAUUAAGAAAGAUCUCCUGCCCUGUAAAAUUUACCCUGAAUAAAUUAUUAUACAACAAUCUUAAUGGUUUGCACUUUAUCUGUUUAAUUUUUAGACUCCUGAGUGCAGGGGGAGAAGGAAAAAGAACUUUGAACUCCAGGGUAAAUCAUAGGUGUCUACACAGAAGUGGGAAGAAGGAGCAUUCGUGUUCUGUUUUGAAGCUGAAUCACAAGCAUGUCUGUGGGAGACUGUCUCAAUUAUUAAUUGAGACAAGAAGACCCACCCUUGCACCAUGAAUGUGGAAAGCACGGUUUCUCGGCUGGGCCCUAAACUGUAUAAGAAU